AGAAGUUGAAGCCUAUUUUUUGAAGAAGGUGUCCGGUCCUCGAGAUCCAUGACGAUGUCUAUUUGUAUCCUAUAAUGGGAUCCCCUCCCUUUGUUCAGUCAAAACUCUAUUGAGUCGAUGUAAUAAACUGCCACUUCCACGCAGUGUCAACAAUACGAUCACAAUGGAGAUCUAUAUAUAUCCGUGUAUCUUCUCUCUUUGCGCUUGAUCUCUGUGGUUGGUUCGGUGUUCUCUCCGUCAUAGCUGGGAUAUAUAACUUCAUACAACUGAAGAUCCACUCUACAGAUCCCAUCCGUGUGGAGCAUUGCAGGAAAAGAAAUUGGAAUCUCUACACCUGUUAUACGUAGAGAACAUCAUACACACUUUGACAGAGCUUCAUCUUUCUCGCCGGAAAGUUUCCACCCUGGUCCGUCGCGUAGAUCUCUGCCUAUAUAAAUAAGAACACUAUGUAUGUGCAUAUAUUCAUCAAGAUUAAUGCAUCCACUGCAUAAACUCGUAGGUGAUGUUCCCUACGAAUGACGAACAGUUAACUGCGCUUCCUACCUCAUGCAAUGGAAAUCUCCAACCUAACUCGUCCAGAAGAUCCCUACGUUGUUCGUAUGAAGAGGAUCAGAGGAAGAGAAUACUAUCACUCGGAUCGACUCGGUACGCGCAUACUCUCUCAUUCUCUCUCGCUGAUUUUCUCUCAAAACAUUCUUGAGAUGACUAUCUGCAUGCGGGAGACGGAUGCCCUAGGAAAUCAAAAUGCAGAAGCGGAAUCAAAGAUCAUCGCGUACCUCAAAAUAAAGGAACCGCGAGGAAGCGGCCGGCAUCACCGCACGCCAUUCCCGCAUCGAUCCGGAGCUCUUCUCCGCCCUCCGCCUGUGAGGGAGAGCCUCUCCCGGAGAGGGGACCAAACAGCCAGCCAUCCUCUCCGGACUCCCUCGCAUUAUUAAAUCCCAUCUAAAAAAUGGUCCACGACCUGGGGUGGAAGGGAUUAAUUAAUAAAAAUACUAUUUAUUAACAUUGAG
rnacentral:lncRNA from 1 species